GGGUCAGUCAGCAGCAGCUGCGCUUUGUCACCGAUGGCUGUCGUCGAAGUUUGAAGCCCUUCCCACUGGACGCGGGGUUGGUGUCGGUGGAUGGAAU
rnacentral:miRNA from 12 species